CUUGUGUCCUACCAUGGUAUUUGCUAACGUUUAGAGAGUGCUUCCCCUUGCCGAGCACUGGGCAAGAAGGCCCUCACCAGAUGCCAGCACCUUGACAUUGGACUUUCCAGCCUCCAGAAAUAUCACUCCUUUAUUGUACAGAUCAGGAAAAAGGAUUUAGUACUGCUAUGCUCAAAUGAACACUGGGCCCAUGUGUCAGGGCCAAGCAACUAGAACAUGAUUCAGAAAUCAGUCAGAGAGAGACACACUUGGACAAGACCAAGAGGCAUUUCAUUGUCACGAAACAAGGUGGGGGAGGGAUUCCAAAACACACAGCAGGAAGUACUUCUAACCCUCAGAGGUCAAGGAGCUUAUUCCAUGUUGGUAUGAGGAAUGGCUUAUUUUCUGAUGACCACAUGUGGGACUAUUUCAACUGCCACGAGAAAUCCCAGAAGGAUUAUUGUUUUGUAUUAUUUAUAUAUACUAUACCUUUUUAAAAAAAUAAAAUAAAUGUAAC
rnacentral:lncRNA from 10 species